rnacentral:rRNA from 1 species
AUCCGCCAGAAGAUUACGAGCGAAAGCCUAAAACUCAAAAGACUUGACGGUAUCCCAACCUUCCUAGAGGAGCCUGUUCCAUAAUCGACAACCCACGAUACACCUAACCACCUUUAGAUAUUACAGCCUAUAUACCGCCGUCGCACAGCCUACCUUUUAAAAGAGUACAAGUAGGCUAGAUAGUAUUAUACUAACAAGUCAGGUCAAGGUGCAGCUCAUAAGGUGGUGGAAAUGGGCUACAUUAUUUAUAUUAAAUAAUACGAACUUAUAUCCCUGAAAAAGAAAAUGAAGGCGGAUUUAGCAGUAAUUUAAACAAGAAUAUUUAAAUUAA